rnacentral:misc_RNA from 1 species
CCGAGUUUACAACUCCCAAACCCCUGUGAACAUACCUACGUUGCUUCGGCGGACCACCCCAACCCCUCGGGGCGAGGGGCCGCCAGAGGACCCAAAACCCAACUGUUUUUUCCGUAACGAAACCUAUUCUGAGUGGAAUUAUUAAAUAAAUCA